rnacentral:rRNA from 1 species
CCUACGGGUGACAGCAGUGAGGAAUAUUGGUCAAUGGACGAGAGUCUGAACCAGCCAAGUAGCGUGAAGGAUGACUGCCCUAUGGGUUGUAAACUUCUUUUAUAUGGGAAUAAAAUGUUCCACGUGUGGGAUUUUGUAUGUACCAUAUGAAUAAGGAUCGGCUAACUCCGUGCCAGCAGCCGCGGUAAUACGGAGGAUCCGAGCGUUAUCCGGAUUGAUUGGGUUUAAAGGGAGCGUAGGGGGAUUGUUAAGUCAGUUGUGAAGGUUUGCGGCUCAACCGUAAAAUUGCAGUUGAAACUGGCAGUCUUGAGUACAGUAGAGGUGGGCGGAAUUCGUGGUGUCGCGGUGACAUGCUUAGAUCUCACGAAGGACUCCGAUUGCGACGGCAGCUCACUGGACUGCACCUGACACUGAGGCUCGAACGUGUGGGUAUCAAACAGGAUUAGAUACCCGUGUAGUC